GCAUUGGUGUUUCAGUGGUAGAAUUCUUGCCUUCCAAGUGGGAAACUUGGGUUCAACUACUGGCCAGUGUA
rnacentral:tRNA from 1 species